rnacentral:rRNA from 1 species
GACGAACGCUGGCGGCGUGCUUAACACAUGCAAGUCGAGCGGAGCGGCGAACGGGUGAGGAACGCGUGAGUAACUGCCCCCCUCUCUGGGAUAACAGUUGGAAACGGCUGCUAAUACCGGAUAGUGGGGGAUGACUCGCGUCCUAUCAGCUUGUUGGUGGGGUAGUGGCCUACCAAGGCGACGACGGGUAGCCGGCCUGAGAGGGCGACAGGCCAUAUUGGGCUAAGAUACGGGCGAAACACCUACGGGAGGCAGCAGUGGGAAGUAUUGCACAAAGGGGGAAACCCUGAGGCAGCAACGCGCGUGCGGUAUGACGGCCUUCGGGUUGCAAACCGCGUGCAGCCAUGACGCGGUAGUGGCAGAAGAAGCACCGGCUAACUACGUGCCAGCAGCCGCGGUAAUAC